CGCUGAUUUCGAAAAUUAACUGUACACUUUCGACCAAUCAGAAAAGAGAUAGUGGGUUCAAUGUAUAAUAACAGGUACAAUGGACCGUUGUUUUCCAAUUUGCUACGUCAGAAUGCCGUCCAUACAAAAAAAAACCGACUGUUGUGCGGAUCUUAGGGGUCAUUUCAAGUUUCCCACGAGUCACGUCAAGCAAUUUAAAAACAAUAUUUACAUAACGACCCUGUUAUGUAUCCCGGAAGUUCUUGCCAAGCGAACAAGAGUUCGACACUGCCGCUCGAAACCGGACUUCAUGAUCCGGUUACAAACAUUUGGCCACAUAUUUCACAAAGAGCUCAAGAGUUGUCGGGACAAUAACAAAGCCGGGAGAAAAUGUGGUCGAAUAUAGGACUGUUAUAUUUGAAGUUGUUUUCAAUAUGGCUGCUGUUGUUUGCUGGUUCAUAUAGAAUACAUUUUGGCAGAUGAGGACAGAGGUUUAGCACGCCCUUCAUACGUCAAAACAGGAAGGCGAUUCACUGAAGGAGAAAGUUUACGAUCACAUUUAUCACAACAACUCGAUGGGCAGUAAAAGGCUGGCCGUUACUGCAUGACGAGUUGAAAUUAAGGAGAUUACGAGCAUUCCAAGGGUUAACAACUUUCACGUGACAAUAUAAAUUUUGCAAAACGCACCGAAAGGAAUAUAUUUCCAGAAUCUGCGGAACUCGAGUUCCGUCUCUUUCAGUCAAAAUCACUAAUCGUUGCAUCUUCAGUUAUUAGCAUCUUAAUGAACUCGUCUCUUCCAGUAGCACUAUUUUUCUUUACUACUUUUUAAUAGCGUUCCAUUCCCAUGAAACUCGACCCAUUUGAUUGCAAAUCUUUCCCUUGUUCUUGGUUGCUAAGAAUCGAUAGACAUUAAGUAGUUACUACUUUCAUGUGAAGCUGAACUGUUUAUUAUGCUGAACAUGGUGGUUUUUGGAACCCAAGUGUGUGAUCAGUGGUCAAUUGUUUCACAUUUUGUAUAUGUUCGUAAAAGCUAAAUACCCGUGGAAGAUUUGAGGCUAAAAGCAAGUCUUCUCAACGCAACUUUAUUAAAAUAAUUGUUAUCAAGGCUGAUUCAUUGCCGUAAAUUUCCGCUUUUCAAUUCCCCGGUUUGUAGACAGGACAGCACAAAUUAUCAUACGCACGUGGGAGACUUAUUAAAAGUCUUGCAUUAUGUGGUUAAAGACAAGUCAUAUUGCAAUUGUAUAGUCGUAAUAAAGCUGGGAAUUCUUUCAGCGACACAUAACUGACAAAAAAUCUUCAACCGAAUCAAUACGCACGAAUUUAUGAAAAAAGUUCCUCGCAAUCAAGCCCACGCAACGCUGCAACGAAGCUAAAACGAAGCUAGAACGCUUCUGAACGGAAGAUCUAAUACAGCGCUGUUUUCAGAUAAGCUCUUCAUAUAAAUAAAUAAAUAUUUCCCUUCAGACUGCCUUGAUUCUUUGCAUGUUAAAACCGACAUUUCGUUUAGCUUCGUUACGUUUUGAGAGCAGUACCCGAAGAGAGAAAACGAGUUGUAAAUUAAACUUUGACAUCUGGCGAUUCAGAGUGCAAUGUCAUCUAAAAUCAUGGAAGUCUUAGUAUCAGAUUUCGACGUCUCGGCGAGUCUCAAAUUGUAUUAUUCUUCACCCAUAAGAUUUAUAGAGCAGGCAUAAUUCGCAGAUGUGGGUAGAGAUUUAGCACGCUCUUCGUAAGUCAAACCCGGAAAAAGAUUCACUGUAGACAGUCGGCAAGAGUAAUUUUAACAUCAUGUUCAUCAUAAACAGCUAAUUCUUCAGUAAAAAGCUACCGUCACAGCAUAUGAGUUGACAGUGGAGAUUAGAUCUAUAUAGAAGGGUUUACAAAUUUUUCGUGACAAUAAUUAAGAAAAUGUGCUGAAAGGAAUGCGUUCCUUUGUCUCCAACUUGUUAAACUUCAAUUGCGACUCUUUCAAAAUCACAAACCGUUACCUCUUUCCCGUAAGCAUCUAAAUAAACUCGUCACUUCCAGUAGCACUACUUUUCUUUUCUGCUUUUUAAUAUAUCGUUCCCUUGUCGUGAAACUAGACAUAUUUGAUGGGAAAUCUUCCAUUUGCUCGCGGCAGUUAUGAGUCGAUUCCAUACAAACAUAAGAACUAUUGCUUUCGUAUGAUGCGCAACUGUGUAUUAUGCUGACGAAGGUGUUCUCAGGAGCCAAGCGUGUUAACAUUAAAAUGAAAGUUAUCGAGCAGUACUCUCGUGUAGUGCUGUUUGUUCCUCGAUAUUUUUACAAAAUGGAAUUUGGGAUUUCUUCCAAUUUUGCGUCUUAAAUGGCUGCGAGAGUGAAAGCUGACUUAACUCCUGUGAUGCGGAACAGUUAUUGCCGGAAGAGAGAAAUUUGCACUUUACUCCUGCCAUAAGCUUUUAAGCACGUUGUUGUUCACAAAGCGCCGCAGUAUUAAUCGAUAACAAGACAUUUUAAAUUCUUCCUCAUCAGUAAGAGGUUUUUUAAAGAUUUAUAAAGUUUGUUUUUCAAUGUUUGUCUUCCGAAAUGAAAUUUGUGAGUUUUCCGAGUGUUGAACUAAGCCGGAAGCAAAUUGAAUGAUUCGGGCAUGUUGUACAUGAGGUGCCACGGUAUUGGCUCAAAAUGUUGUCAUCUUAAAUUGUUCCACGUCAUUUGAAGAUUUUUUUAAGUAGUCUUGAUAGCUUCCGUAACUCAGUGGGCUUAACCCAGGACCGUAGCUAGUAACAGGUUAACAGAGACACUUGGGAAGGAAAGACUUGAUAUUCACCCGGUCAAAUUAAUUCUUUGCUUCAACUUACGUCACACGUACGGAGUCUUAGGACGACACUAACUUUCGAUUUGUUUAUCUUCCAGCACCUUGCCUUAGUGAAGAUCUCAAAUGUUACCUUUGCCACUCGAACAUAUCGUGGGAUGAAUGUGAAAAGAAUAAAAAAGUAGGGGUUUGUUACCCCAACUACGACGACGUCUGCAUCACAAUGCAUCAUAUUGAAAACGAUGACACAGAAAAAGGAUAUAAGGAAGAUUUUGUCAAGAUGUGUGGCCAAGCGCGGUCGUGUACGGACAAAGACUGCCAGAAAAAAUACAAAACUUGUCAAAUAGAUUGUUGUCAUAGCGACUUGUGUAACGUAGCGACAGGGCGAACUCACGUGACAAGCACAAUGCUGGCCACUGUGCUUGCUGUUUUGUUGUGUGUUCUACAAUUGCGUUGUAUUUUCUGAACUUUCUUCUCUCUCAAUUGCGAUUGAUACUGUACAUUGAGGAAAUUGUGCAACAUUUUUCGAUUUGAGUUACGAGGCAGUUUUCCGCGCCCAACUCCUGAAUACGGGUCGAGUCCCACUUGCCCCGCAGCGUAAUGUGAGUCCAAUCAGUGAUUGACUUGAACUAAUACGGUCCAAGAAGCGGCUGAACCGCAUUGAUACUGGAUCAGACUCAACAGAAUCGCACUGAUACGGGUGAAAAAAUGCGGUUGACCCGCAUUGAUACGGGAUCAAACUCGACUGAAUUGCACUAAUACGGGCGGCAAAUGCGGUUUAUCCGAAUUGAUACGGAUCUGAAUCCCAGUAAUACGGGCCAACAUGCGCUUGACCCGCAGAGAUUCUAGAUCGAUCCCAAUCGACGCGCAAUCUUUUUAAUGUUGGAAGAAGUGUACUAAUAUCACCGUCAAUAAACAUUUCCUGAAAGUGUUCUUUUUCACAACGAACGCUAUACGUCAAAAUUUACUUCCUAUUAAGCUGUAAAGUAUUUUUGAUUAAUUGCACUCUGUAAAUGUGAUAUUUUUAUACAAAGGAAUAAACUGGCGGUUAUAUAUUGGCCAUUGACAAA